rnacentral:rRNA from 1 species
UACGUAGGGUGCAAGCGUUAAUCGGAAUUACUGGGCGUAAAGCGUGCGCAGGCGGUUGUGCAAGACCGAUGUGAAAUCCCCGGGCUUAACCUGGGAAUGGCAUUGGUGACUGCACGGCUAGAGUGUGUCAGGGGGGGGUAGAAUUCCACGUGUAGCAGUGAAAUGCGUAGAGAUGUGGAGGAAUACCGAUGGCGAAGGCAGCCCCCUGGGAUAACACUGACGCUCAU